rnacentral:rRNA from 1 species
AUUGAACGACUGGCGGAAUGCUUUACACAUGCAAGUCGAACGGCAGCACGGACUUCGGUCUGGUGGCGAGUGGCGAACGGGUGAGUAAUAUAUCGGAACGUAUCCAAUAAUGGGGGAUAACUAAUCGAAAGGUUGGCUAAUACCGCAUACGCCCUCAGGGGGAAAGCUAGGGACCUUCGGGCCUGGCGUUAAUGGAGCGG